rnacentral:lncRNA from 1 species
CUACUUACAAGCUACUCACAAGCUACUCAACCGAGCACAAGAGGCGUGGAUAGUCAGCAGCGGCGGCGCUGCUGGGCGGCGCACAGGACCCGCCCCCUGCGCCGCCCUGGAGGCGCCACAGCGGCCGCUUAGGCGGACUUGUUGGCGGGGGUCCAAGACUCGUACUUGCGCCAGUUGCGCGGCUUGGCGCUGAACCAGGAACCCUUGGGGUUGUAGCAGGUCUGCGUGCCGGUCUUGGUCAUGGAAGCCUCGAUCUG